rnacentral:tRNA from 2 species
GCGCCCGUAGCUCAGCUGGAUAGAGCGCCGGACUUCGAAUCCGUAGGCCGCAGGUUCGAGUCCUGCCGGGCGCGCCA